rnacentral:tRNA from 2 species
AGUCUCGUGGUGUAAAGCACAUUAGAUUGCAAGUCUAAAAGAGCGGAGUAGUUUCCUGCCGGGGCUU